rnacentral:tRNA from 3 species
GUAGAGUCACGCAGCAGGUAGCGCGCCGGGCUCAUGCCCCGGAGAUCGACGGUUCGAGCCAGUCCCUCGACU